UACGAAGGGGGCAAGCGUUGCUCGGAAUCACUGGGCGUAAAGGGCGCGUAGGCGGGCUCUUAAGUCAGGGGUGAAAGCCCAAGGCUCAACCUUGGAAUUGCCUUUGAUACUGACAGGCUUGAAUCCGGGAGAGGGAUGCGGAAUUCCAGGUGUAGCGGUGAAAUGCGUAGAUAUCUGGAGGAACACCGGUGGCGAAGGCGGCAUCCUGGACCGGCAUUGACGCUGAGGCGCGAAAGCUAGGGGAGCAAACGGG
rnacentral:rRNA from 1 species